AAAAUCUUUGAUUAUACAUCAGGUCUUGAAGAACUCUAUAUUAAUUACUGAAACGGAUGCUUGUCCUUAUUAAAUCAAGAGACUACGUGACAUGCAUACUAAUAUAUUAGUCUAGAGUGAGGUUAUGGUCGCAAAAAAUAAAAUAUUUUGUAUAUUUUAUAAAUCUGAUACAGAAGAAAAUUAUUGCAUCAGCUGAUACGAUCUGUAAUGAAGAUAUAGUAAAAUAAUGAUCCAUAUAUUUAAAAUAGGUUAUCAGCUGGGGCGAACACGUGUUUCGAACAUCGAAAAAUUUGCUUCUAUUACUAAUUGUCAUUUCUUCACGUAUACCUGUUGUAUCGUCGCAUUAUCAGCUACAAGCAACUUUGAUAGUAUUGCCUCCAUUACUGAUUUAAUAUGUAUUAAGAUUUUUGCACAAAGUAGCCGCAGCACUGAUCAGGAUCAAUCAGGAUCAGACACAAUCAGACAUCAGACCUGUUGGUGUACGUAUGACGCGUGAACGCGCGUGCGCAGCAAACGACGAGACCGAGAAAAUUUUUGAUGUAACUGUACUAUGAGUAACGUAGAUGGCAUUUGAAGCACAACUUUUUACCGGUCGAGUAAAUCGCAUUUUAUUUAAUUACGUUUGCUUCAUACAUUAUUAUCUGAAUCAACGUUCUACAACUAUUAUAAUAACCGUUUGUCAAUUAUGUUCUGUAAUAUUGGAUUAACCAACAAGUCGUUAAUUAUAGAAAAGAAGUCAUAACAAUUCAAAAUAACCCCGUAAAAGUUUUCGGACGUUGCUAAUACUGUGCUUGUGCAGAACGAGCAGUCCCAUGCAAAGUAAAUUUGAAAAGCGUGUAAUCGGACUAAAUUGGGCCAUGACCACACUGUACCAUUAUACGUCGAGUAACGCUGGUAUAUACAUAAAUAUACAAGAUAUUUGUCAUAUUGAACGACUGCUUCGACAAUCCAGCAUUUGAUCAAGUAGAACAAUGGAUACAAAGUUAUUUGAUUACACGUUAUACUAUGCGCAGUCAGACGAAAAAGCGGAGAAACCAAAUCUACAAAUUUUAUUUGUUAUUCCAACCAAUUACAACUUUCCCAAAAAUUGUUCUCGACAUUUGGUUUAUUUAAAAAAAAUAAUAUCAUUUACAUUUCGACUAGAUUAGUACUCUCAUCAGUCUAAUUAGGGUGUAGAAGUAAUAAUAAUAAUAAUCAAUGCACAUAUUAUGUAGAAAUUAGGGAUAAUUGUUGUAGACUCCGGCACUUGCGUUAGUAAGCUGUAAUUAUAUACUUCCAGUAAUGUAGUAAGUCUAAUUAAGUGAUGUGAAUAAUUAUAGACUGAAAGUAACUUUUACAUUUUAACGAUAUUUAACUAUGUACUUGUCGUUUAGAAACCACCUUAUAUUACAGCAUAAUAAUCGGUAGUUUUUCAGGACUUAGCGGUGUAACUGGAAGUAGAACUUCAACGUUGUUUGGAUUUCAAGACGUACAGCGAAUCAGAUGUCGCGGUGUCAACUGUAUAACAAGUUAACGGACACAACGAGGACAAUGGUUGCGAUUUUCUGAACGCGCAUGUACCUCGAGUGGAAGAACGAAUCAGCAGCUGCUUACAUAUCGCCCGACCGAUGCCAAGCUGAUGGUCUAGCUUGAAAAAGUAUCGCAGAAACAGGCUCGACGAAGCACAGCAGAUAGCCUGUCAUCGACGUCAUUGAGUGACUCCUCUUGCACCUCGUGCAUAUUCGUCGUCUGGCUUACGUGCACUCCAGACAACUCCCGUCAGAAGUGGCUGUUUUCGUACAAAUUUAGUAUCUUGAUCACGUGGUCCCGAUAAAACUCGCCAAAAAUCGGUUCACGGGUCGGAUACAUAUUAUAAUUUUUAGUUAGAUUAGAUGUGCUAAUAACAUCUUUUUUUCUAAUUACGUUACUGCGCGUUAUCGUACAGUAAUUUUCUCAUUCAACAAUUGUGGACAACUUUAAACUAAAAAUUGUAUAAAUUGGAACAUUGCAAAUUCAACUUUACGGGAUGGUAAUUACAAAGUCAAGGGAGUUCAUAGCAAGAUUGAUAGAUUAUCCGAAUAUAAACAAAUUAUCCAUUUAUUAUUCGAUAACUUUGAGUUUUAUGAAGUCAAAGUUAAAAUCGAGGUGAAUAGCAAUGGAUGGGAUAAGGUCAUGUGUUUCGCCGUGUGCUCGGUGCGCUUAAUCCGAACGCGAAAUUAAUGUCGAUGAUGAAUCUGCUUCGUGUAAGUCGACACCGCAUGCGAUCUGCCACCUCACGUACCAUGCCCUAAUUUAUUACAUAAGCAAUCCUGCCUCUUUUGGUUCCGUGAAUCGUUUCAAAGGAAUUAUCGGUAGAUACCGCAAUCCCGAUAAAGUUGAACAAAGGUUCGCUUAUUCGAGAGUAGCGCAACGUAGUUUGCGAUCAGUUUAACAGUGCAAGCGCCGUAUGUGCAACGUGCACUGUUGAUAAAAAUAUGAUCAUACUUAAUUAUUAUCAUUAUUAUUAUAUUAUAUAUAUAUAUUAUAUAUAUUUUAUAUAAUUAUAUAUAUUUAAAUAAAUAUAUUUAUAUAUAUUAUAUUACAUAUAUAUAUUAUAUAUAAAAAUGCAUUCUAACGCCUGUUAGGGAACUUUUCAGUAGCUGUAACAAUCAAUUCGUAUCAACCUUACACGAGCCCUGAUAACGUAAGGUUAUUACUUCCUUCAAGAUUAUUUUUAUUUCAUUAUGCAAUUCUUUUUAACAUAACUCUGUCAAUUUGUACUUUCGUUGAAUCCUGUAAUUUCGUAUCUUAUUUUGCAGUGAUCCGAUGACUCUUCGAAGCUUGUCCAGCUACAAACCGCGAUAAUGCGAUCCGAAUGAAGUGUCGCCGAUUGUUUCAAGACAUGAUAGGAUUAAUCAUUAGGUUGGCGUUUCUGCGAGAAGGUGCGACACGUGAUUCACAUAGGAACGUUUUUGUGAAAGGGAGCGGACAUUAUUUGAACACGUGAAUCGGUAGAAGGUCCGAAGGCACUCCAUAUGUAUUACUCAAAUAAGAGUGUUCCGACCUAGAGGAGCCUUCGUGUAGAUUUUUACGACAGGCACCCGGCAACAAGCUGUUCCAAUAGGGAACCUGUGCCCCACUAACAUCGUUGACGACCGUAUUAUCUUCUCUACAACCUCCUGUCGGAGGAUCUAGAACUGCUAGUAUCCUGGAGCCUCGGACUCUUUAAUUUCCUUUUUUUUUCACACGAGAAACAAGUCUGAAAGGGCCGACGGUGUCCAUGUUCGAUAUUCUCGGAGCUCUAAAGCGGUGACAUCAUUGAAAAAAUUGUUGGAACCUGGCUUUUUGUCAUUAAGAAGGCACUCUGCCUCGAGGUUUUUUCACAUUCGAACGGUGGACUCGGGUUCCGUUCGGAACCAUACUAGAAAAAUUGAUACUUGAAUGUGAACUUUCUAACAACUAACUUCAGUUUCGACAAAUUCUAUAGAAAAACUAACGUAUCUAGAAGAAAUACCGGAAAAAAUGUGUUGAGAAAAACUGAUAAAUAAAAAGAUAAAUGAUCGUGUAAGUAUACUGAAUCAUAUUUUAUCAACAAAGUCUGCCGUUCGUGGGUUAACCUUCUAUGGUAAAUGGGAUAAUUAAAUCUUUAGAUAUAAAUGAACAAUAAAUUCACAAUUUAAAAAAGAGAAAAUUGAAUUUAUUCCGAUGUGCGAAGUAGAAGGAAAACAACAGAACAAAAUACUUUAGCAACAUCACUUUAGAGCAACCAACAGUGGCUAAACGUUGUUAUUUUCCAAUUUUCUGUGCAUUUCAAAUCGAGCUAUUCCUCUAAAGAUCUAUGAAGCUUUGAAAGCAAUAAGAUCUUCGCGAAUGAUCAGUAGACCACGGACAUUUUGCGCAUUCACGGUACAUGCGUAUGGAACAUGCACGCUAAUGACAAUUAGUUAUAUUACAAUUCGAUAUUAGCCACAAGGAAUCUUCUAAUCGGACGUAAGAAAGUCCUUUAUUUAGACUUUAAUGAGAAUUUGCAUAAAGAUCCGCAGUCGAAUGAUCGCUGUAGAGAUUAAGUAAAGGUUGAAUAAUGUGAACGCUAUUAAAGCAACCAGGGGCCAUUAGUUGUUUCAUUA